rnacentral:rRNA from 1 species
AACGUAGGUGGCAAGCGUUAUCCGGAUUUACUGGGCGUAAAGCAUGUGCAGACGGGUUGGUAAGUGGUGUAUGAAAGCGUCCGGCUUAACCGGGCAAGCGUAGGCCAGACUGCCAGUCUUGAGAGUGGGAGAGGGAUGUGGAAUUCCGGGUGGUAGUGGUGAAAUGCGUAGAGAUCGGAGGACCCCAGAGGCGAAGGCGGCGUCCUGGCCCCUUUCUGACUGUUCAGAC